AGCGAACGCUGGCGGCAGGCUUAACACAUGCAAGUCGAGCGGGCCCUUCGGGGUCAGCGGCAGACGGGUGAGUAACACGUGGGAACGUACCCUUUGGUUCGGAAUAACGCUGGGAAACUAGCGCUAAUACCGGAUACGCCCUUUUGGGGAAAGGCUUGCUGCCGAAGGAUCGGCCCGCGUCUGAUUAGCUAGUUGGUGGGGUAAUGGCCUACCAAGGCGACGAUCAGUAGCUGGUCUGAGAGGAUGAUCGGCCACACUGGGACUGAGACACGGCCCAGACUCCUACGGGAGGCAGCAGUGGGGAAUAUUGGACAAUGGGCGCAAGCCUGAUCCAGCCAUGCCGCGUGAGUGAUGAAGGCCUUAGGGUUGUAAAGCUCUUUUGUCCGGGACGAUAAUGACGGUACCGGAAGAAUAAGCCCCGGCUAACUUCGUG
rnacentral:rRNA from 1 species